ACAGUUCAUUUAACCCGAGAAUACAUAAAGGACAAUUAGUGUAUUGUCAAUGCAGGGUUUACCAGGAAAAAGAGGAGUUGAUGGAAAAAGUGGACUUCGUGGACCAAAGGUGUAAUGCACUUUUCAAUCGGUUACAUUUACAUUUUAGUCAUUUAGCAGAUUCUUUUAUCCAGAUACCUUAAGAAUGUUGAGUAAUUCACAUUGUCUAACCAGCUUAUAUGGAUUUGAGUUAUCAAGAUUCAAUUUGAAUGCAAUUUGUGUUUGAUUCCAGGGAGAUUAGGAGAGGGGAGAUUAGGGGAGAGGGGAAAGACUGGGACCGGUGGUCUCAAAGGAGACGUGUAUGUUUUACUCUGCAACUUUUUAUGAUUAUUAUUUUCUUUAAGGUUUUCUCAUAGAUUUAUCCUUCUCCUUCCUCUGUGUUUUUCUCAUGGAUUACAAGGUCCAAGAAGGAAGAAAGGAGAGUCUGGAACAAGAGGAAAAAUUGUGGGAUAUUUAAUUUUGAUUUAAAAUAUACAGUAUUAGUAGCUGUUGUGUCAUUAAAGUUUGAUGUUUGUACACAGGGGACAUUGGGAAAGAGGGGGUUAAUCGGGUCUCCAGGAGGUAAAGGCAGACCUGGGCCUGCUGGUCCCCUUGGAGAGAAAGGUGGUAAAGGAAUAGAAGGGCCAAAGCAAAACCGGACCAUGACCAGGAGAACGCUUGACUCAUUCCCUGACCUUCACUCAAGCAGCUCCUUCAGCUGGCCUCAGGGCACCAAAGACAGCCCUGCAACCACCUGCAACAAGCUGGGGCUGAUUCAUCCACACCUGCAGGAUGGAAACUUUUACGUGGACCCUAACCAGGGCUGCCUGUUUGAUGCCCUGCAAGUGUACCUGUAACUUCACUGUAGGAGGGAUGACCUGUAUACCUCCUGUGUUGUCACAAGUGGAGGUACGAGUAUGGGGGAGCACAGAGAUCCAUAGAGAGGACUUGGAGCUGUUGCCCCUCAGGGACGUUAGUGCGGAGGGAAGGGGAGAAGGGGAAGGGGAGGCUCUGCAUCUGUCCUCGUGCUCCUAGACCUUAGUGCUGCUUUUGAUACCAUCGAUCACCACAUUC